GACGAACGCUGGCGGCGUGCCUAAUACAUGCAAGUCGAACGCACUCUCGUUUAGAUUGAAGGAGCUUGCUCCUGAUUGAUAAACAUUUGAGUGAGUGGCGGACGGGUGAGUAACACGUGGGUAACCUGCCCUAAAGUGGGGGAUAACAUUUGGAAACAGAUGCUAAUACCGCAUAAAACCUAACACCGCAUGGUGUAGGGUUGAAAGAUGGUUUCGGCUAUCACUUUAGGAUGGACCCGCGGUGCAUUAGUUAGUUGGUGAGGUAAAGGCUCACCAAGACCGUGAUGCAUAGCCGACCUGAGAGGGUAAUCGGCCACACUGGGACUGAGACACGGCCCAGACUCCUACGGGAGGCAGCAGUAGGGAAUCUUCCACAAUGGACGAAAGUCUGAUGGAGCAACGCCGCGUGAGUGAAGAAGGUUUUCGGAUCGUAAAACUCUGUUGUUGGGGAAGAAUGUAUCUGAUAGUAACUGAUCAGGUAGUGACGGUAUCCAACCAGAAAGCCACGGCUAACUACGU
rnacentral:rRNA from 1 species